GGAGACCUGUAUGAACGGCAAAACCUUUUCAAACUGUCUCCCUCCCUAACCUUUUAAACUCCUUUUUACGCGAAGAAGCGUGAAUACAUCAGAAAGACGAGAAGACCCUGUCGAGCUUCAGCCAAUAAGUGAGCCAACAAAACCUAUGUGUUAGCAUCACCCAAAGGCUUUGGUUGGGGUAACCAUGGAGAACACUAACCCUCCAGAACAAGCAGACGAACUCUCUUCCCUACUAAACGAGCUAAAGAACCAGGAACUGGUAAUCGGAAAAAGUUACCGCAGGGAUAACAGCGUAAUCCCCUUUAAGAGUCCUUAUUGACAAGGGGGUUUGCGACCUCGAUGUUGGAUUGGGGCCCCCUUAGGGUGCAGAAGCUCUAAACGGUUAGACUGUUCGUCUAUUAAAGCCCUACGUGAUCUGAGU
rnacentral:rRNA from 1 species